CUAGUUUGACAUUGUGAAAGGACAUAGGGGGUGUAGGAUAGGUGGGAGCUUCGCCGCCGGUGGAAUCCCACUACCCUUAACGUUUUCUUACUUUUUCGAUGAAGCAGUGGCCACUGGAUUGGUGGUGAAGGUCGAGGUAAUG
rnacentral:ncRNA from 1 species